AGAGUUUGAUCCUGGCUCAGGACGAACGCUUGCGGCGUGCCUAAGAAAUGCAAGUCGAGCGGGGGACCAGAUUUCGGUUUGGUCCUUAGCGGCGAACGGUCGCGUAACACGUAAGCAACCUGCCCCGAAGACCGGGACAACAGCUCGAAAGGGCUGCUAAUACCGGAUGUGGCCAUAGGGAGGCAUCUCCUUAUGAUUAAACCGAGCGACCGGCUUCGGGAGGGGCUUGCGGCCUAUCAGCUAGUUGGUGGGGUAACGGCCUACCAAGGCGACGACGGGUAGCUGGUCUGAGAGGACGGCCAGCCGGACUGGGACUGAGAUACGGCCCAGACUCCUACGGGGGGCAGCAAUUAGGAAUCUUGCGCAAUGGGCGAAAGCCUGACGCAGCGGCGCCGCGUGGGGGAGGAAGUCCUUCGGGAUGUAAACCCCUUUUUCCGGGGAAGAAACAAAUGACGGUACCCGGUGAAUAAGCCCCGGCUAACUACGUGCCAGCCGCCGCGGUAAUUC
rnacentral:rRNA from 1 species